rnacentral:lncRNA from 1 species
CAGGGUGAAGUUAAAAUGAGGCUAGUAGGGUGGGGCCCUAAUCCAAAAUGACUCACGUCCUCAUCAGAUGAGAAAGAAACACCAGGAAGGCACAGGCACAGAGAAAAAGCCAUGUGACAACACAGCACGAAGACAGCCAUCUGCAAGCCAAGAGAAGAGGCCUUACAAGAAGGCUUCCUGCUUACUUUAAUAACGGGGGAGUUGUGGUGUGCAGUAAGUAGUAUGUGAUCUGG